UACGGGGGGGGCAAGCGUUGUUCGGAAUUACUGGGCGUAAAGGGCUCGCAGGCGGCCAACUAAGUCAGACGUGAAAUCCCUCGGCUUAACCGGGGAACUGCGUCUGAUACUGGAUGGCUUGAGAUUGGGAGAGGGAUGCGGAAUUCCAGGUGUAGCGGUGAAAUGCGUAGAUAUCUGGAGGAACACCGGUGGCGAAGGCGGCAUCCUGGACCGGCAUUGACGCUGAGGCGCGAAAGCCAGGGGAGCAACCGGG
rnacentral:rRNA from 1 species